AGUGAACGCUGGCGGUAGGCCUAACACAUGCAAGUCGAACGGCAGCACAGUAAGAGCUUGCUCUUACGGGUGGCGAGUGGCGGACGGGUGAGGAAUACAUCGGAAUCUACUUUUUCGUGGGGGAUAACGUAGGGAAACUUACGCUAAUACCGCAUACGACCUACGGGUGAAAGCAGGGGAUCUUCGGACCUUGCGCGAUUGAAUGAGCCGAUGUCGGAUUAGCUAGUUGGCGGGGUAAAGGCCCACCAAGGCGACGAUCCGUAGCUGGUCUGAGAGGAUGGUCGGCAACCCGGAACCUGAGACCCGUUCCAGCCCCCACCGGGGGGCACCGGGGGGGAUUUUUGACAAUUGGGCCAAGCCCUAUCCCGGCCUACCCGGUUGGGUAAAGAGGCCUUUCGGUUUGUAAAGCCCUUUGUUGGGAAAGAAAAGCAGCAGGUUAAUACCCCGCUGUUCUGACGGUACCCAAAGAAUAAGCACCGGCUAACUUCGUG
rnacentral:rRNA from 1 species